CAGUUUGCUUGCAAACUGGAGAUGGCGACCGGCGCACGGGUGAGUAACACGUAUCCAACCUGCCGAUAACUCGGGGAUAGCCUUUCGAAAGAAAGAUUAAUACCCGAUGGUAUAAUUAGACCGCAUGGUCUUGUUAUUAAAGAAUUUCGGUUAUCGAUGGGGAUGCGUUCCAUUAGGCAGUUGGUGAGGUAACGGCUCACCAAACCUUCGAUGGAUAGGGGUUCUGAGAGGAAGGUCCCCCACAUUGGAACUGAGACACGGUCCAAACUCCUACGGGAGGCAGCAGUGAGGAAUAUUGGUCAAUGGGCGCAGGCCUGAACCAGCCAAGUAGCGUGAAGGAUGACUGCCCUAUGGGUUGUAAACUUCUUUUAUAUGGGAAUAAAGUUUUCCACGUGUGGAAUUUUGUAUGUACCAUAUGAAUAAGGAUCGGCUAACUCCGUGCCAGCAGCCGCGGUAAUACGGAGGAUCCGAGCGUUAUCCGGAUUUAUUGGGUUUAAAGGGAGCGUAGGUGGACAGUUAAGUCAGUUGUGAAAGUUUGCGGCUCAACCGUAAAAUUGCAGUUGAUACUGGCUGUCU
rnacentral:rRNA from 1 species